rnacentral:rRNA from 1 species
UACGGGGGGAGCAAGCGUUGUUCGGAUUUACUGGGCGUAAAGGGCGCGUAGGCGGCCACCGCAAGUCGACUGUGAAAUCUCCGGGCUUAACCCGGAAAGGUCAGCCGAUACUGCGGGCUAGAGGUGCAGAAGGGGCAACUGGGAAUUCUCGGUGUAGCGGUGAAAUGCGUAGAUAUCGAGAGGAACACCUGCGGCGAAGGCGGGUUGCUGGGCUGACACUGACGCUGAGGCGCGAAAGCUAGGGGAGCGAACGGG